rnacentral:rRNA from 1 species
AUUGAACGCUGGCGGCAGGCCUAACACAUGCAAGUCGAGCGGUAACACAGGGAGCUUGCUCCUGGGUGACGAGCGGCGGACGGGUGAGUAAUGUCUGGGAAACUGCCUGAUGGAGGGGGAUAACUACUGGAAACGGUAGCUAAUACCGCAUAACGUCGCAAGACCAAAGAGGGGGACCUUCGGGCCUCUUGCCAUCAGAUGUGCCCAGAUGGGAUUAGCUAGUAGGUGGGGUAAUGGCUCACCUAGGCGACGAUCCCUAGCUGGUCUGAGAGGAUGACCAGCCACACUGGAACUGAGACACGGUCCAGACUCCUACGGGAGGCAGCAGUGGGGAAUAUUGCACAAUGGGCGCAAGCCUGAUGCAGCCAUGCCGCGUGUAUGAAGAAGGCCUUCGGGUUGUAAAGUACUUUCAGCGGGGAGGAAGGUGUUGAGGUUAAUAACCUCAGCAAUUGACGUUACCCGCAGAAGAAGCACCGGCU